AGAGUUUGAUCCUGGCUCAGGAUGAACGCUAGCUACAGGCUUAACACAUGCAAGUCGAGGGGAAACGACAUCGAAAGCUUGCUUUUGAUGGGCGUCGACCGGCGCACGGGUGAGUAACGCGUAUCCAACCUGCCCAUCACUUGGGGAUAACCUUGCGAAAGUAAGACUAAUACCCAAUGACGUCUCUAGAAGACAUCUGAAAGAGAUUAAAGAUUUAUCGGUGAUGGAUGGGGAUGCGUCUGAUUAGCUUGUUGGCGGGGUAACGGCCACCAAGGCGACGAUCGAGUAGGGGUUCUGAGAGGAAGGUCCCCCANAUUGGAACUGAGACACGGUCCAAACUCCGUAACGGGAGGCA
rnacentral:rRNA from 1 species